rnacentral:rRNA from 1 species
GACGAACGCUGGCGGCGUGCUUAACACAUGCAAGUCGAGCGGUAAGGCUCCUUCGGGAGUACACGAGCGGCGAACGGGUGAGUAACACGUGAGUAAUCUGCCCUUCACUUCGGGAUAACCACCGGAAACGGUGGCUAAUACCGAAUACGACCAGUCUUCGCAUGAGGUGCUGGUGGAAAGUCUUUUCGGUGAAGGAUGUGCUCGCGGCCUAUCAGCUUGUUGGUGGGGUAAUGGCCUACCAAGGCUUCGACGGGUAGCCGGCCUGAGAGGGUGACCGGCCACACUGGGACUGAGACACGGCCCAGACUCCUACGGGAGGCAGCAGUGGGGAAUAUUGGACAAUGGGCGAAAGCCUGAUCCAGCAACGCCGUGUGAGGGAUGACGGCCUUCGGGUUGUAAACCUCUUUCAGUACCGACGAAGCGCCCUGUCGGGUGGUGACGGUAGGUACAGAAGAAGGACCGGCCAACUACGUG